AACGCGAAGAACCUUACCUGGGCUCGAAAUGGAGUGGACAGGAGUGGAAACAUUCCCUCCCCGCAAGGGGCUGCUCUAUAGGUGCUGCAUGGCUGUCGUCAGCUCGUGUCGUGAGAUGUUGGGUUAAGUCCCGCAACGAGCGCAACCCUUAUUACCAGUUGCCAUCAUUCAGUUGGGCACUCCGGUGAGACCGCCUCGGAUAACGGGGAGGAAGGCGGGGAUGACGUCAAGUCCUCAUGGCCUUUAUGUCCAGGGCUACACACGUGCUACAAUGGUCGGUACAAACCGUCGCAAACCCGCGAGGGGGAGCUAAUCGGAAAAAGCCGGCCUCAGUUCGGAUCGCAGUCUGCAACUCGACUGCGUGAAGCUGGAAUCGCUAGUAAUCGCGGAUCAGAACGCCGCGGUGAAUACGUUCCCGGGCCUUGUACACACCGAGACGAC
rnacentral:rRNA from 1 species